rnacentral:rRNA from 1 species
GCUACUGGAGACUGGCGGACGGGUGAGUAACGCGUAGAUAACCUGCCUAUAUCUGGGGGAUAACAUCUCGAAAGGGGUGCUAAUACCGCAUAAUGCAGCGGGGCCGCAUGGCCACAGUUGUUAAAAGUUUCGGCUGGAUAUAGAGGGGUCUGCGUACUAUUAGUUAGUUGGUGAGGUAACGGCUCACCAAGGCGAUGAUAGUUAGGGGGUCUGAGAGGAUGAUCCCCCACACUGGGACUGAGACACGGCCCAGACUCCUACGGGAGGCAGCAGUGAGGAAUCUUGCGCAAUGGGCGAAAGCCUGACGCAGCCACGCCGCGUGCCGGAAGACGGCCCUAUGGGUUGUAAACGGCUUUUGAAUGGGAAGAACGAGAGGGUUUCGAUCUUCUGUGACGGUACCAUUUGAAUAAGCACCGGCUAACUCCGUGCCAGCAGCCGCGGUAAUACGGAGGGUGCAAGCGUUGUCCGGAAUCAUUGGGUGUAAAGGGUGCGUAGGCGGGAGCCUAAGUCUGUGGUG